rnacentral:rRNA from 1 species
UACAUAUGUCCCAAGCGUUGUUCGGAUUCACUGGGCGUAAAGGGUGCGUAGGCGGUCGGGUAAGUCUGACGUGAAAUCUCCAAGCUCAACUUGGAAAUGGCGUCGGAUACUAUUCGGCUGGAGGAAUGGAGGGGAGACUGGAAUUCUCGGUGUAGCAGUGAAAUGCGUAGAUAUCGAGAGGAACACCAGUGGCGAAGGCGGCUCUCUGGGACGGUACUGACGCUGAGGAGCGAAAGCAUGGGGAGCGAACAGG